AUGAACGCUGGCGGCGUGCCUAAUACAUGCAAGUCGAGCGAACAGACGAGGAGCUUGCUCCUCUGACGUUAGCGGCGGACGGGUGAGUAACACGUGGAUAACCUACCUAUAAGACUGGGAUAACUUCGGGAAACCGGAGCUAAUACCGGAUAAUAUAUUGAACCGCAUGGUUCAAUAGUGAAAGACGGUUUUGCUGUCACUUAUAGAUGGAUCCGCGCCGCAUUAGCUAGUUGGUAAGGUAACGGCUUACCAAGGCGACGAUGCGUAGCCGACCUGAGAGGGGGAUCGGCCACACGGGAACUGAGACACGGUCCAGACUCCUACGGGAGGCAGCAGUAGGGAAUCUUCCGCAAUGGGCGAAAGCCUGACGGAGCAACGCCGCGUGAGUGAUGAAGGUCUUCGGAUCGUAAAACUCUGUUAUUAGGGAAGAACAAAUGUGUAAGUAACUAUGCACGUCUUGACGGUACCUAAUCAGAAAGCCACGGCUAACUACGUG
rnacentral:rRNA from 1 species